GUGAUGUUGCCUGGGUGUCCUGUUUGGGGCACAGGGCCCCUGGGUCAAACCUCAGUGCAGCACAAAAGGUCAUACUGGCAUGAUGAACAGAAAAGCUUUGGCCUCCCAAGCUGUCAUGCAUGUACAGGCAUGUGUGCAACUCCAAGAGAUCCCUGCUUGAGGUUUCCAUACAGUGUAGAUGGUGGCAUCCUCUGCUAAUAAUCUGGAUAGACAGUUCCAUUUGGAUGAAAUUCCUUGAGAGGACUCAAAUUUAGGCCACACAGAAUUUUUGCAAGGAUUCCAAGAGGGAAAUGUGAACACAGCUAGGCAAAACUGAGAUAAUCUACUCCAAAAUUUGGAGUGUAAUGCUGUGCUAACUCUAGGACAUUAUGACACCAAGUUCCUCAUCUGUUCAAGGCAAAUGAGCUCAAAACAAGACCCAAACCCUCACUGGAGGACUACAAAAGGGCAUUUUCAAAGUCAAGCCCACAGGUUAACCCAAGGCCAUCAAGGUAACUCCUUAUCAAGCUUUACCUUCCCAGGCAACGACUGUCCAUUUUUUUGCCAUUGUAGCACCCAACGUCCCACAUCUCAGUCUGACAUGCUCAGCACCAGACUGCAUGGGGUGAGCAGGAAAAUGUCCCACUGUGAUGCCUUGCCUUUGUGAAAGCUGCUGGAACACAGACAAGGAAGAAACUUUGGACAGUAGUGAAUCCUAUUUUGAAGUGAAAAAUGGACAUAUGAAAGAGGGCAAAGUGGCACUAGAGAAAGGAAUUGCAUGCAGGACCUUGAAUGAGGGACACUCAGGGCAGCCAAAGACAUCAGCCACUUAUGCCAGCCACCUCUGGAAGGCAGGAGCAUCGCAAAAGACUGGAUGUAUGCUCCUCCAUCAGCGAGCCCUCAGCCACAGACAGGAUCAGUAACCACAACCCAAUCUGCUGCUCUUUCCACAGCAGACACUUUUCCACAUGGUCAGACACUUCCUGGGAUCCCUCCCUGCCUGAGAGACUCUGGGAUACUGUGCACACAGAAGAUGCGGAUGGGUAAUCUAAUCCAUGACCAACUCAUGGCUAACAUCCUUCAUGCAUAUAAAUUCGCAAGUGUCAGCCACUAACAAGCUCUUCAAUUGACAGCUGGAAAUGAAGAAAGGUAAAUAUUCCAACAAUGCAAAUUCAGAAACAGUAAUGUUCAAGAUGAAACAGUCAUGGUUACUUCAGAUACUGGGUAUUGGAAAACUGAAUCAUGCUGAAGAACUGUGUAAAAUCAGUUGGCCUCUGCCUUCAGUUACAGAGACUUCAUUGCCUCACACUGAGAUUCUGGCAAGAUAUUUCCUGGAUAUCUAUUGGAAAAUGAUUGAUUCCUCUU